UCCGUUAAUUGAUUAUGACGUACUUGUACUGAUUGAGAUUUUAACACGAAGUGAGUGGCGAACGGGUGAGUAACACGUGGGUAACCUGCCCAGAAGUAGGGGAUAACACCUGGAAACAGAUGCUAAUACCGUAUAACAGAGAAAACCGCAUGGUUUUCUUUUAAAAGAUGGCUCUGCUAUCACUUCUGGAUGGACCCGCGGCGUAUUAGCUAGUUGGUGAGGUAAAGGCUCACCAAGGCAGUGAUACGUAGCCGACCUGAGAGGGUAAUCGGCCACAUUGGGACUGAGACACGGCCCAGACUCCUACGGGAGGCAGCAGUAGGGAAUCUUCCACAAUGGACGCAAGUCUGAUGGAGCAACGCCGCGUGAGUGAAGAAGGGUUUCGGCUCGUAAAGCUCUGUUGUUAAAGAAGAACGUGGGUAAGAGUAACUGUUUACCCAGUGACGGUAUUUAACCAGAAAGCCACGGCUAACUACGUGCCAGCAGCCGCGGUAAUACGUAGGUGGCAAGCGUUAUCCGGAUUUAUUGGGCGUAAAGCGAGCGCAGGCGGUCUUUUAAGUCUAAUGUGAAAGCCUUCGGCUCAACCGAAGAAGUGCAUUGGAAACUGGGAGACUUGAGUGCAGAAGAGGACAGUGGAACUCCAUGUGUAGCGGUGAAAUGCGUAGAUAUAUGGAAGAACACCAGUGGCGAAGGCGGCUGUCUGGUCUGCAACUGACGCUGAGGCUCGAAAGCAUGGGUAGCGAACAGGAUUAGAUACCCUGGUAGUCCAUGCCGUAAACGAUGAUUACUAAGUGUUGGAGGGUUUCCGCCCUUCAGUGCUGCAGCUAACGCAUUAAGUAAUCCGCCUGGGGAGUACGACCGCAAGGUUGAAACUCAAAAGAAUUGACGGGGGCCCGCACAAGCGGUGGAGCAUGUGGUUUAAUUCGAAGCUACGCGAAGAACCUUACCAGGUCUUGACAUCUUCUGACAGUCUAAGAGAUUAGAGGUUCCCUUCGGGGACAGAAUGACAGGUGGUGCAUGGUUGUCGUCAGCUCGUGUCGUGAGAUGUUGGGUUAAGUCCCGCAACGAGCGCAACCCUUAUUACUAGUUGCCAGCAUUAAGUUGGGCACUCUAGUGAGACUGCCGGUGACAAACCGGAGGAAGGUGGGGACGACGUCAAAUCAUCAUGCCCCUUAUGACCUGGGCUACACACGUGCUACAAUGGAUGGUACAACGAGUCGCGAGACCGCGAGGUUAAGCUAAUCUCUUAAAACCAUUCUCAGUUCGGACUGUAGGCUGCAACUCGCCUACACGAAGUCGGAAUCGCUAGUAAUCGCGGAUCAGCAUGCCGCGGUGAAUACGUUCCCGGGCCUUGUACACACCGCCCGUCACACCAUGAGAGUUUGUAACACCCAAAGCCGGUGGGGUAACCUUUU
rnacentral:rRNA from 1 species